GACGGAAGGUGCAAGCGUUGCUCGGAAUCACUGGGCGUAAAGCGCACGUAGGCGGAUGUGUCAGUCAGGGGUGAAAUCCCGGGGCUCAACCUCAGAACUGCCUUUGAUACAGCACGUCUCGAGUCCGGAAGAGGUGGGUGGAAUUCCUAGUGUAGAGGUGAAAUUCGUAGAUAUUAGGAAGAACACCGGUGGCGAAGGCGGCCCACUGGUCCGGUACUGACGCUGAGGUGCGAAAGCGUGGGAGCAAACAGG
rnacentral:rRNA from 1 species